CUGAAUGUGUGGCCCCAACCUCAAAUGCUGUGAGACAUUGCUCAAGUAACAACACAGAUAAGAAGGCACAGUUUUUCUGACAGAGAAAGUGUAAUGAAGAGCUGCAGUGCCAAUAGCCUUUGAUCCAAACCACCUCCUCUAGCAAGACCCAGUUUCUCUGGGGAAUAUGAGCAUGUGGGAAGAACUGGGUUACUUCUCUCCAGUUCACAAAUGGAAACGGCUUUGACUCAGUCUCAUGGUCUUCUAUCACAGAGAAUAAGUGGUACAGACCUCAUCCUGAACAACAAGAAGCAACACUAGUGAAUUGUAUCACAUGAAUGCACAUAAACAGUCUUCGCCCUCAUUCUCCUGUAUCAAAAUUUAAAACUUCUUGGGACACAUGGCACUGACAAACUCCAAAGCUCACACUACAGUACACUCAAAUGACAUUUACUGUUUCUGCAUCUACUGUGGAAACCAAACUUUGAAAUUCAAAUUAUCAAUUGUUACUAUAGAAUUAUGUUUGUGUACAGCUGACUUCCAUGGCUUUGAAGAGAACAAGGCUUGUGCUAGUAGCCUGCAACUAGAAACAGCCAUCUAAGUUUCACAGAGAAUUUUGAUAAAGCCAGAGCCUGACAUCACUUUAAAUCCCAACCCCACUGUAGUCAAGGACAUUUCCCAUUAACUUCAUGAGCAUCUGGAUUUCUUACUGUUGUACUGGGUUUGCAUGGCAAGGUUUUGGCAAUGAGAGGGCUGCAGGGGUGGCUUCUGUGAGAAGCUGCCAAAAGCUUCCCCAUGUCUGACAGAGCCAGUGCUAGCCAGCCCCAGGACAGACCCUCCACUGGCCAAGGCAGAGCCCAUUAGUGAUGGUGGAUUGCCUCUGGGAUGAUAGAAUUAAGAAGAGGAAAAAGCUACUGCGUAGGAGCAAACUGCAGCCAGAGAAGACAGGAGUGAGAAUAUGUGAAAGAAACAGCUCUGCAGGCUCCAAGGUCAGUGCAGAAGGAGAGGGAGGAGGUGUUCCAUGCGCUGGAUCAGAUUCCCCUGCAGCCUGUGGCGCAGCCCAUGGUGAGGCAGCUGUGCCCGUACAGCUCAUGGAGGUUCAUGGUGGAACAGAGAUGUGGAGGAUCCCACACUGGAACAGGUGGAUGCCAUGACACCGUGGGAAGCCCACACUGGAGCAGAUUUGCUGGCAGGACUUGUGACCCCACAGAGGACCCAUGCUGGAGCAGUCUGUUCCCAAAGGACGGUACCCAAUGGGAGGGACUCAUGCCAAAGCAGUUUGUGAAGAACAGCAGCCAAUGGGAAGAACUUACACUAGAGAAUUUUGUGUAGAACCUUCUCCCAUGGGAGAGACUCCUUAGUGGAGCAGAAGAUUGUGAGGAAGAAAGAGCAACAGAGAUAACGUGAACUGAUCACAAUGCCCAGUCUACGUUCCCCUGUACCACUGGAGGAGGGGGAAAGGUAAAGAAUUCAAGUGUAAAGUUAAGCCCAGGAAAAAGAGAAGUAUGGUGGAAAAAUGUUUUUAAGAUUUGGGUUUAUUGCUCAUUAUCCUACUCUGAUUUCCCUAAGUCGAUUCUGUCUUGCUCGCAACAGUAACUGGUGAGUGACAGCUCACUGUGCUUAUCUUAACCACAAGGCUUACAAUUUUAUUUUCUCUCCCCUGUCCAGCUGAGGAGUAAUAGAGCAGCUUCAGUAGGCAGGUGGCAUCCAGCCAGGGUUAAUCUACCACAACUGUACAGACACAUGUAAACGGUAGCUUUUUUUUUUUGAACUAAAGCAAUGCAGGCAGUUGCAGUAAAAGGAAAGAUGAAAGAAAGCCACAGGAUAAGAGAAAAACUCUCCCGUGAACAGAUUUGUCUUUGACUGACAGAAUCAGAACAUUUGUUGUUCACAAGCCACUCCCAUAGCGAAAGGUUGGCUUUUAGUUCUUACUAACACCUAAAAUAUGGGUUGCAGAAAUAAUAGUUCAUUUCCAGAGUUUAGGGCCUGUUUUUUCAAUCUACAUACAAGAAAGGGGGAAAACAGAACUGCUUCCAAGAAAAAAAAAACCAACAAAACUGUUGUACAACUCUGACAGGUUGAUAGUUUGAAAUGAUUCAGAAGUCCAGGAGCCUUCCAGCAGUUAGACACCCAAAGCUGAGAUGCAAAACUUAC